CCAAGAUUGGGCCACUGCACUCCAGUCUGGGUGAUAGAGUGAGACCCUAUCUCAAAGAAAAAAAAGUAGGCAAGGAACUUUAUUGGUGAUAUUCUUCACAAACCCUCAGCAGUUUCCUGCACCUGCAACUCCUCAGGUACUAUAGUCAUGUUUUCUUGUAUUCCAGUGUCUGGAAUUUAUUCCUUCUGGUGGAUUCUUGGUCUUGCUGACUUCAAGAAUGAAGCCGCGGACACUCGCGAAAUCCUUGCUCUGAUCUGCCUGACUUCAGAGUGUAAACUCUUAAAUACACAGUCUGCUGCUUCUCCAGAUCAAGGUACAACAGCAGGUUCUUUUCUGAUUCCGCAAAGUCCUGCAUGGGGUGGAGGCAGAGACAGAAGAGAAUGUAAACACUGGGUUCCACCCCCUGGAAAUUAAGGGAAGACCCCUUACCCAGAUAGGGACUGAUUGGAGAGGUGGAAGGGAACAAGGUGAAAGGUAGGGGUCCUGGUAAGAGAAAGCAGGGGGGCCUGAGAACACAGAGGAAAGUGGUUGAGAAAUGUUCUCUCAUAUGCUCUUUAAGAAAAGCAAAUGCCCCUUUUUUUUUGUCCCAGAAAGCAUGUCUCUUUAUCUAGAAUUAGGCCAUGUGCCCACUCCUGAAACAGUAGCUAUGACCAAGGGAUGAGAUUUUGCCCAAUACCUCAGGCCUGGCUUGCAUGUGCCAUUCCUAGGGCCAGGAGUGGAGUCAGAAUCCUCAAAUGACAUGCUACACAUGAGGAGGGUGUCCACACUCAAGUAAAAUUGGGAUGGAUACCAAGAGAAGGGGUUACGUUCCCUUCUCACAAUGCCUCUGUUCAAGUACUACGGGCUUUUAGAAUUUGCCAUACUGUACCCCCACCCCAGCCUACCUCACCCUGGUCUCUCUGAGGAGGGGCCUUUUACUUCUCUGAAUGACCUGUGGUACUGAUUUUCUGCAUUUUUCAAAUUUUCAAUCAUCCUACUUGUUAAUUUACUUUCUGCAGAUGCUGUCAUCUCCCUGCUCUGCUAUGUCUUCAUUCCUCACAGUACCUGAACACAAAGCUGUGGUGUUAUCAGACUUUAACUGAAGGUUUGGGGUCCCGAAGAGGAUUAUAACAUAGCACAAAACUCAAAAUUGAACAUUGAUGAUGUCAUUAUGAAUAUCCAAAAGUUCCCUGACCAAACUCAUUUUAAGGACUGCGGUAAUUUAAAAGUAUGUCUACAAAUUAGUUGAUACUUCUUUAUUCAAAAGGUGGAGCCGAAUUCCCCUCCCCUUGAAUGUGGACUAGGAGUUAGUGACUCACUUUCAACAAAUAAUGUGUGGCAGAAGUGAAGAUAUUUGACUUCUGAGGCUAGGUCAUACAAAGGAUAAAGUUUCUACCUGGCUCGUUCUCUUUAGGAUCACCCUGGGGGAAGCCAGCUACCAUGUAAUGAAGGUACUCAAGCAGCCCUGGGAAAGAACCAUGUGAAAAGAAACUGGGGCCUCCCACCAAUAGCCAGCAUCAACUUGCCAGCCAUGCAUGCCAUCUUGGAAAGAUAUCUCCUAGUUCCAGCUAAGACUUUAGCCGCCUAUAACCCCAGCUGACAUCUUGUUUGCAACCUCAUGAGAAGAUCCUUAGUUGAGGGGCAACCAAACUCCUGACCCACAGAAAUUGUGAGAGAUAAUAAUGCUUAUUGCUAUUUUAAGCUGCAAAGUUUUGGAGUAAUUUGCUAUGUAGCAACAGAUAAGUAAUACAGAGAGUCUCUCAUGGGCCGUUUUCUUCCGUC
rnacentral:lncRNA from 1 species